UACGAGGGGGGCGAGCGUUGUUCGGAAUUAUUGGGCGUAAAGGGUGCGUAGGCGGCCUGACAAGUCUGAUGUGAAAUCCCUGGGCUCAACCCAGGGCCUGCAUCGGAAACUGUCGGGCUUGAGUAUGGGAGAGGUGAGUGGAAUUUCCGGUGUAGCGGUGAAAUGCGUAGAUAUCGGAAGGAACACCUGUGGCGAAAGCGGCUCACUGGACCAUUACUGACGCUGAGGCACGAAAGCUAGGGGAGCAACAGG
rnacentral:rRNA from 1 species